UCAGGGGGCCAGGCAGCCGCGCGCCGCAGGGCGCGAGGAAAGUCCGGGCUCCACGAAACGAGGGUGGCGGGUAACGCCCGCCGGCCGAAGGGUCCGCCCCGAGGUCAGGGAAAGUGCCACAGAGAGCAUACCGCCGAUGGCCCGCGCUCCUUCGGGAGCCAGGGGGCACAGGCAAGGGUGAAAGGGUGCGGCAAGAGCGCACCGGGGCUGCCGGCAACGGCGUCCGCAUGGCAAACCCCACCCGGAGCAAGGCCAAAUAGGGGCCUCGCGUCCGUCCUUCGCGGCGGGCAGGGGAGUUUCGCCCCGAGAGGCCCGGGUUGGCUGCUAGAGCCGUCCGGCAACGGGCGGCCCAGAUGAAUGGCUGCCCCCGCGGCGCCGGUCCCGCAAGGGAUACCGCGCGCGGGACAGAACCCGGCUUAUUGGCCCCCUGACGUU
rnacentral:RNase_P_RNA from 2 species